CGAUUUCUAGGUCUCCUCCUUUCCUCCCAGCCCCGAACACCAGCGGGCCGCCGCCGCCGCACACCCGCGUCGCUCCCUCUCUCCUUCUUCCCGGCGGCGGGGUCGCGGCCUCCUCCCUCCCUCCGGCCGCGGCUCCUCCUCCCUCCCCUCCGGCCGCGGCUCCUCCUCUCCCGGCGCAGGGGCGCGGCCUCCCGGCGCCCCUGUCCUCCCCACCGGCGCCCGCAGCCCUCAGAUCCGGCGGCCGGCAGCGUCGGGGUCGAGGCGAGGGGGCGCGGCCUCCUCUCCCGGCGCGGGGGCUCCUCCCUGCCGGCGGCCGCAGCUCGUCCUCCGCGGCGUCAGCCGCGGGUCCCACGCCCCCCACCUGACACGCCCGCGACCGCGACUCCUGGAGGUCUCCUGUAGCGACCUGGAGGAUUGCGGCGCGUUUACCGUGCUGCGGUGCAGCAGUUGGAUCGGCAAAUGUGGCGUCCAGGCUCUUUCGGAGUACUGCGGUAGACACCUCUGUCGGACCCAAUAUUUGAAGCCAGAUGUGUGGAGAGGUAGGCACCUCUGUCAGACCCAAUAUUUGAAGCCACAUGUGUGGAGAGGUUAAUCACUCCCCUCACCGGCAGUGGAUGCAGCCACACUGCUGCCUGCAAAACAUCUUUAUUGCUUCAACGCAAGGAAGGCUCUAGAAGCAUCUAGAUUGUCUAUGAUUGCUUCUCAUAUAUUUUUAUGCAAGGAAGGCUCUAGAAGCAUUUGGUUUGUCCAUGCAGAUGAUCUUAAUUACCUGGUUAUCAAUUAGCUUAAGCAAAGCUAAUCUCAGGCUUGCCACCCUCACACAACAUCGGGAUGCGUUUUGCACGAGAAGCAACGGCAAGGUAGGCACCUCUGUCAGACCCAAUAUUUGAAGCCACAUGUGUGGAGAGGUUAAUCACUCCCCUCACCGGCAGUGGAUGCAGCCACACUGCUGCCUGCAAAACAUCUUUAUUGCUUCAACGCAAGGAAGGCUCUAGAAGCAUCUAGUUUGUCUAUGAUUGCUUCUCAUAUAUUUUUAUGCAAGGAAGGCUCUAGAAGCAUUUGGUUUGUCCAUGCAGAUGAUCUUAAUUACCUGGUUAUCAAUUAGCUUAAGCAAAGCUAAUCUCAGGCUUGCCACCCUCACACAACAUCGGGAUGCAUUUUGCACGAGAAGCAACGGCAAGGAGAAGAUAGAUGCUAGAGGACAGAUACAAGGACGGGGUCAUUGCAAAGAAAAAGAGCUAGAGGUGAGUGAGCCUACGACCACCAAUUGCUUAUCCCCUAUUACCAAUUGCAGCAGACUUGGACUAAAGGAAUUGCUUGAAGUGAAGACCAGUGAACAAAAGGCUUUACACAACAGAAUUGUUGACCUCUUUCGUUUCGGGAUAAGGCCUGGAAGAAGCAGGGAUUGAACCAGGGCUUGUUCACAGAGCAAAUAUCAAAAGCCUAUGUUGUAUUCAUAUAACUGCAUGUGUAUGUAACCCAUUUGUUUUUAUCCCUCACUAUUUUUGUGCUUUUUCUGGUCAGAAAUCCCAAGUUGACACACUUGCUGCAAGAUUCUCUAGGAGACUCUAAAGCAUUGAUGUUUGUGCAAAUUAGCCCAUCCGAUAGUGAUGUAUCAGAAACCUUGAGUUCAUUAAACAUCGCCAGCCAUGUUCGGCGUAUUGAAUUGGGACCAGCAAAGAAGCAAGUUGAUACUGUUGAACUUCAAAAGACCAACAGAUGAUGAGUUUUAGUUGUGCAUUUUCCUAAGUUAACUUUCAUGACAACUUGCACACUGUGCUAGCAACCUGCUUGAGGCUAGCUUAAUGAUAUGUAAUUUACAUUUUUCCUGCUGAAUGAAUGUAAGCUUGAAAGAACUAAGCAAGAAGUCAGACUUAAGGAUGACUCUUGAGAAAGCUAGAAGAGAACUUAAAAAAUUUCGAGACCAAAGCCAAAGGGAAAGAGUAACUUUGCAAGAACUUGCAAGAAAAGGUAAAAGAGAGGUCAGUUAGAUUCCAGGGCACAUUCUCAAAUGACAUCAGAGAAACAGCAGCAUCAGCUCUCUGGAAAACUAAAGGAGAAAGAAGAAAUGUGUACUGCCCUUCAGCAGAAGAUCGUGGAGUUAGAGAGCAAACUUAGACAGCCGCACCAAUCAGAAUCUGAGGUUGCAGUUCUCAAGCAAAUGAUCGAAGAGAUGGAGCUCAAGUUGAAGGCGACUCCUAUAAAGAUUAAAACAUUUAUACAUUUUAUAUGAUUGUUGCGGAAUUAAAGGUGCUCCUUGAACGGGACCGAGCAAGGGAUGAGCAAGGGUUUGAACAUACCUCAAUGCUUACGACGGCCACGACGGCCACGACGGCGGGUUGCUGACGCCUCCUUACGCUCCUGACGAUCCCUAGCCUCGCGCUCCCUCGCUUCCCUGGCCUUACUCUCUUCGAUCCGGUGCCUCUCCUCAUGGCCGCGGAUGAAGAUGCGGUCGUACACGCCUUCCUUGAGACGGCAAGGGCGGCACCCCCACCACACCAUCUCGCCGCCGAGCACCCCCACCCCCACCGCGCGCGCUUCUCUCCCCAUUGAUCCCGCCGCCGCCGCCGCCGCUCGCUGAGGAAGGAGUUGAAAGAGGAUUUUCGGGUGGUAUAGAGGGUUUGUUUUAUCAGUAUACUCCUGUUAGGAAAAAGCCCAUGGGCCAGCAAUGAAUUGGGCUUCCAAAUCACUGCGGCCUGCUAACAACGAAUGAAUGCGGCCCACCUCCCCGCCGCCGGCGCCGGCGCCCGCGCGCGGCAGCAGCAGCAACCCCACCAGCAGAGAGAGAGAGAGAGAGAUCUGCGACUGGGCAGUGAUGGUGUCCGACGGGUACGAUCCGAUCUGGAGCGGCCGAUUAAUUAGAACGGAGGGGGGAGGAGGCUUCGCUGAUUAGCGUCGUGAUUGGAUCGUGUCAGCGUGGCACGAGGAUGAGAGGAGAGGAGGUGCUCUGCUCGGCGCAGGGAAUUUUCGGGCCGGGUGUUUCAGGGGUAAAAAUGUCAGACCACCAUGGAGAAGUAGUAGAAAAUUCCACCUAUUAUAUGGAUAAAAAAAUUGUGGCAAGAGCAAAUACGAAUAGGAAUUUUUUUUUUUGGACGAAGUCUAUCAAAUGGGAUGGCUUUUCACGCGCGGGAUUGCGCGACGCCCUCCACGUGCACGAAGAGGUCCAAAAGCAUUUCAAUAUGCGCAAUAUUUGUCGGUGGAUUAGAUUGUAAUUGACCUAAAUUUGAAUAUUUAGACUAUGGAUAAGAGGUGUUAAACUUUA